UUCUGGCUCAGGAUGAACGCUAGCGGCAGGCCUAAUACAUGCAAGUCGGACGGGAUCCGGUAGCUUGCUACCGGUGAGAGUGGCGCACGGGUGCGUAACGCGUGAGCAACCUGCCCAUUCCAGGGGGAUAGCCCGGAGAAAUCCGGAUUAACACCGCAUAUGAUCACGGAACCGCAUGGUCCGGUGAUGAAAUAUUGAUAGGGAAUGGAUGGGCUCGCGUGACAUUAGCUAGUUGGUAGGGUAACGGCCUACCAAGGCGACGAUGUCUAGGGGCUCUGAGAGGAGAAUCCCCCACACUGGUACUGAGACACGGACCAGACUCCUACGGGAGGCAGCAGUAAGGAAUAUUGGUCAAUGGAGGCAACUCUGAACCAGCCAUGCCGCGUGCAGGAAGACGGCCCUACGGGUUGUAAACUGCUUUUGUACGGGAAUAACCCCCUCUACGGGUAGAGGGCUGAAUGUACCGUAAGAAUAAGGAUCGGCUAACUCCGUGCCAGCAGCCGCGGUAAUACGGAGGAUCCGAGCGUUAUCCGGAAUUAUUGGGUUUAAAGGGUGCGUAGGCGGAUCGAUAAGUCAGUGGUGAAAGACGAUGGCUCAACCAUCGCAGUGCCGUUGAUACUGUUGAUCUUGAAUGUACUUGAGGUAGGCGGAAUGUGGCAAGUAGCGGUGAAAUGCAUAGAUAUGCCACAGAACACCGAUUGCGAAGGCAGCUUACUAAGGUAUGAUUGACGCUGAGGCACGAAAGCGUGGGGAUCGAACAGGAUUAGAUACCCUGGUAGUCCACGCCCUAAACGAUGAACACUCGGUGCCGGCGAUAGACGGUCGGCGCCCAAGCGAAAGCGUUAAGUGUUCCACCUGGGGAGUACGCCCGCAAGGGUGAAACUCAAAGGAAUUGACCGGGGGCCCGCACAAGCGGAGGAGCAUGUGGUUUAAUUCGAUGAUACGCGAGGAACCUUACCCGGGCUUGAAAGUUAGCGACGGCACCAGAGAUGGUGCUUCCCUUCGGGGCGCAAAACUAGGUGCUGCAUGGCUGUCGUCAGCUCGUGCCGUGAGGUGUUGGGUUAAGUCCCGCAACGAGCGCAACCCCUGUGGAUAGUUGCCAGCAUAUAAAGGUGGGGACUCUAUCCAGACUGCCUGUGCAAACAGAGAGGAAGGCGGGGACGACGUCAAGUCAUCAUGGCCCUUACGUCCGGGGCUACACACGUGCUACAAUGGGCGGUACAGAGGGCAGCUACACUGCAAAGUGAUGCCAAUCUCUCAAAGCCGCUCACAGUUCGGAUCGGGGUCUGCAACUCGACCCCGUGAAGUUGGAUUCGCUAGUAAUCGCGUAUCAGCAAUGACGCGGUGAAUACGUUCCCGGGCCUUGUACACACCGCCCGUCAAGCCAUGAAAGCUGGGGGUACCCUGAAGCAUGUAACCGCAAGGAGCGUGUUAGGGUAAAACCGGUAAUUGGGGCUAAGUCGUAACAGGGUAACCGUAAAA
rnacentral:rRNA from 1 species